AACGAACGCUGGCGGCAGGCCUAACACAUGCAAGUCGAGCGAGAACUUCGGGUCUAGCGGCGGACGGGGGAGUAACGCGUGGGAAUAUGACCUUCUCUGCGGAAUAGCCUCGGGAAACUGAGCGUAAUACCGCAUACGCCCUAUGGGGGAAAGAUUUAUCGGAGAAGGAUGAGCCCGCGUUGGAUUCGGUAGUUGGUGGGGUAACGGCCUACCAAGCGGCCAAUCCAUAGCUGGUUUGAGAGGAUGGUCAGCCACACUGGGACUGAGACGCGGCCCAGACUCCUACGGGAGGCAGCAGUGGGGAAUCUUAGACAAUGGGGGCAACCCUGAUCUAGCCAUGCCGCGUGAGUGAUGAAGGCCGUAGGGUUGUAAAGCUCUUUCAGCUGGGAAGAUAAUGACGGUACCAGCAGAAGAAGCCCCGGCUAACUCCGUG
rnacentral:rRNA from 1 species